rnacentral:rRNA from 1 species
GGGAUAGGAGGAGGCAGCAGUGGUGGGAAGAGGGAGGUGGAAAGAGUGGUCUGGAUUUAUUGAGCGUAAAGGGCGGGUAGGCGGCCAGGCAGGACGGGUGGGAAAACUCGGAGCUCAACAUCGAGAGGGCGGUGUGAGCGGUUUGGCGAGAGUCCGGAAGAGGAGAGUGGAAUUCGCGGUGUAGCGAUGAAAUGCGCAGAGAGCGGGAAGAACACCCGUGGCGAAGGCGGUUCUCUGGGACGGUACUGACGCUGAGACGCGAAAGCGUGGGGAGCGAACAGGAUUAGAUACCCCAGUAGU